UCAAAGGCUUUACUAAAAGCCAACAAAAUUGGCCAAGAUGAAGAAA
rfam:Rattus norvegicus chromosome 5, whole genome shotgun sequence.